rnacentral:tRNA from 2 species
AGCGGGGUAGGGUAGCCUGGUAGCCUGCGGGGCUCAUAACCCCGAGGUCCCCGGUUCGAAUCCGGGCCCCGCUACCA